rnacentral:rRNA from 1 species
UUCCGUAGGUGAACCUGCGGAGGGAUCAUUACCGAGUUUACAACUCCCAAACCCCUGUGAACAUACCACUUGUUGCCUCGGCGGAUCAGCCCGCUCCCGGUAAAACGGGACGGCCCGCCAGAGGACCCCUAAACUCUGUUUCUAUAUGUAACUUCUGAGUAAAACCAUAAAUAAAUCAAAACUUUCAACAACGGAUCUCUUGGUUCUGGCAUCGAUGAAGAACGCAGCAAAAUGCGAUAAGUAAUGUGAAUUGCAGAAUUCAGUGAAUCAUCGAAUCUUUGAACGCACAUUGCGCCCGCCAGUAUUCUGGCGGGCAUGCCUGUUCGAGCGUCAUUUCAACCCUCAAGCACAGCUUGGUGUCGGGACUCGCGUUAAUUCGCGUUCCCCAAAUUGAUUGGCGGUCACGUCGAGCUUCCAUAGCGUAGUAGUAAAACCCUCGUUACUGGUAAUCGUCGCGGCCACGCCGUUAAACCCCAACUUCUGAAUGUUGACCUCGGAUCAGGUAGGAAUACCCGCUGAACUUAAGCAUAUCAAUAAGCGGAGGA